AGUUCCAGGCCAACCAGGCUG
rnacentral:miRNA from 1 species